UACAGAGGUCUCAAGCGUUGUUCGGAUUCAUUGGGCGUAAAGGGUGCGUAGGUGGUUGGGUAAGUCAACUGUGAAAUCCCGGAGCUCAACUCCGGAACUGCAUUCGAUACUGCCCGGCUCGAGGAUUGGAGAGGAGACUGGAAGUCACGGUGUAGCAGUGAAAUGCGUAGAGAUCGUGAGGAACACCCGUGGCGAAGGCGGGUCUCUGGCCAAUUCCUGACACUGAGGCACGAAGGCCAGGGGAGCAAACGGG
rnacentral:rRNA from 1 species